CCGAUUCACUCUUAUUUAUAUUUUCAUGAUGGACAUCAAGGUCGAUACAACAAAACGACCAAGAUUUUAACUAUACUUGGCUACCACCCAAAAAGGACUCGAUUCUACAUCGAACAUGUACCACCCUCCAUCAACGAGCGUCGGCUAUCUCCAAAAGGUGUCAGCUCCCAACAGCUAUACGCGCCAUCAUACCCAAUCCGAUGCAUCGGGUGGCGGCGGCGAUAACAUCCCUAACAUCUCUCCAUCAUGUCAGACAUGGACAUAUAUAAACUCCUGGAUGACCGGGCCAUCAGCUCGACCCACGUCGUACAUC
rnacentral:lncRNA from 1 species